GAUUAAGUUAUUAAGGGCGCACGGUGGAUGCCUUGGCACUAGAAGCCGAUGAAGGACGUUACUAACGACGAUAUGCUUUGGGGAGCUGUAAGUAAGCUUUGAUCCAGAGAUUUCCGAAUGGGGAAACCCAGCAUGAGUUAUGUCAUGUUAUCGAUAUGUGAAUACAUAGCAUAUCAGAAGGCACACCCGGAGAACUGAAACAUCUUAGUACCCGGAGGAAGAGAAAGAAAAUUCGAUUCCCUUAGUAGCGGCGAGCGAAACGGGAAGAGCCCAAACCAACAAGCUUGCUUGUUGGGGUUGUAGGACACUCUAUACGGAGUUACAAAGGACGACAUUAGACGAAUCAUCUGGAAAGAUGAAUCAAAGAAGGUAAUAAUCCUGUAGUCGAAAAUGUUGUCUCUCUUGAGUGGAUCCUGAGUACGACGGAGCACGUGAAAUUCCGUCGGAAUCUGGGAGGACCAUCUCCUAAGGCUAAAUACUCUCUAGUGACCGAUAGUGAACCAGUACCGUGAGGGAAAGGUGAAAAGCACCCCGGAAGGGGAGUGAAAUAGAACCUGAAACCGUGUGCUUACAAGUAGUCAGAGCCCGUUAAUGGGUGAUGGCGUGCCUUUUGUAGAAUGAACCGGCGAGUUACGAUUUGAUGCAAGGUUAAGCAGUAAAUGUGGAGCCGUAGCGAAAGCGAGUCUGAAUAGGGCGUUUAGUAUUUGGUCGUAGACCCGAAACCAGGUGAUCUACCCUUGGUCAGGUUGAAGUUCAGGUAACACUGAAUGGAGGACCGAACCGACUUACGUUGAAAAGUGAGCGGAUGAACUGAGGGUAGCGGAGAAAUUCCAAUCGAACCUGGAGAUAGCUGGUUCUCUCCGAAAUAGCUUUAGGGCUAGCCUCAAGUGAUGAUUAUUGGAGGUAGAGCACUGUUUGGACGAGGGGCCCCUCUCGGGUUACCGAAUUCAGACAAACUCCGAAUGCCAAUUAAUUUAACUUGGGAGUCAGAACAUGGGUGAUAAGGUCCGUGUUCGAAAGGGAAACAGCCCAGACCACCAGCUAAGGUCCCAAAAUAUAUGUUAAGUGGAAAAGGAUGUGGCGUUGCCCAGACAACUAGGAUGUUGGCUUAGAAGCAGCCAUCAUUUAAAGAGUGCGUAAUAGCUCACUAGUCGAGUGACACUGCGCCGAAAAUGUACCGGGGCUAAACAUAUUACCGAAGCUGUGGAUUGUCCUUUGGACAAUGGUAGGAGAGCGUUCUAAGGGCGUUGAAGCAUGAUCGUAAGGACAUGUGGAGCGCUUAGAAGUGAGAAUGCCGGUGUGAGUAGCGAAAGACGGGUGAGAAUCCCGUCCACCGAUUGACUAAGGUUUCCAGAGGAAGGCUCGUCCGCUCUGGGUUAGUCGGGUCCUAAGCUGAGGCCGACAGGCGUAGGCGAUGGAUAACAGGUUGAUAUUCCUGUACCACCUAUAAUCGUUUUAAUCG
rnacentral:rRNA from 1 species